GGUGGUGUCAAAAAUCUCUGAACAGUUGCUUGCCCGUAAAGGAUUUUACUUCUCCUUUGCUUAUGAAGCUUAGUUCGGAUGGAUAUGAAAUUCUGGGUUGAAAAUUCUU